CUUGGUCAUUUAGAGGAAGUAAAAGUCGUAACAAGGUUUCCGUAGGUGAACCUGCGGAAGGAUCAUUAAAAAAAAGAGAAACGUCCCGUUUUUUUCAUAAGAAUGGGUUCUAUUCCCUUAAACCGUGUCUACAUACCUUUGUUGCUUUGGCAGGCCGCCUUCGGGCGUCGGCUCCGGCUGAUAGUGCCUGCCAGAGGACCCAAACUCUAUGUUUAGUGAUGUCUGAGUUCUAUAUAAUAUUUAAAACUUUCAACAACGGAUCUCUUGGUUCUGGCAUCGAUGAAGAACGCAGCGAAAUGCGAUAAGUAAUGUGAAUUGCAGAAUUCAGUGAAUCAUCGAAUCUUUGAACGCACAUUGCGCCCCUUGGUAUUCCGAGGGGCAUGCCUGUUCGAGCGUCAUUAUAACCACUCAAGCCUGGCUUGGUAUUGGGGUUUUCGCGUGUUCGCGGCCCUUAAAAUCAGUGGCGGUGCCGUCUGGCUCUAAGCGUAGUAAUUUCUCUCGCUAUAGGGUUCCGGUGGUUACUUGCCAAAACCCCCCAUUUUUUCUAGGUUGACCUCGGAUCAGGUAGGGAUACCCGCUGAACUUAAGCAUAUCAAUAAGCGGAGG
rnacentral:rRNA from 1 species